rnacentral:rRNA from 1 species
AACGUAGGAGGCUAGCGUUAUUCGGAUUUAUUGGGCGUAAAGCGCGUGCAGGCGGUCUAGCAAGUUGGAUGUGAAAGCUCCUGGCUCAACUGGGAGAGGUCGUUCAAUACUGUUAGACUAGAGAAUGGGAGAGGGAGGUGGAAUUCCGGGUGUAGUGGUGAAAUGCGUAGAUAUCCGGAGGAACACCAGUGGCGAAAGCGGCCUCCUGGACCAUUUCUGACGCUAAGACGCGAAAGCUAGGGUAGCAAACGGGAUUAGAGACCCCGGUAGUCCUAGCCGUAAACGAUGUAGACUUGGCGUUGGCGGAGUUAAAUCUGCCAGUGCCGGAGCUAACGCGUGAAGUCUACCGCCUGGGGAUUACGACCGCAAGGUUAAA